rnacentral:snoRNA from 1 species
AAUCCAUGCAUUGGACAUUUUUGAAUUAACUCUUUAAAUUGUUCCCAAGCUUCAUAUAGUGUUUCAUCCUCUGAUUGCCAAGAAGAUGUGAUGUCAUUUCUAAGCUU